CGCUGAAGAGAGGAGCUUGCUCUUCUUGGAUGAGUUGCGAACGGGUGAGUAACGCGUAGGUAACCUGCCUUGUAGCGGGGGAUAACUAUUGGAAACGAUAGCUAAUACCGCAUAACAAUGGAUGACUCAUGUCAUUUAUUUGAAAGGGGCAAAUGCUCCACUACAAGAUGGACCUGCGUUGUAUUAGCUAGUAGGUGAGGUAACGGCUCACCUAGGCGACGAUACAUAGCCGACCUGAGAGGGUGAUCGGCCACACUGGGACUGAGACACGGCCCAGACUCCUACGGGAGGCAGCAGUAGGGAAUCUUCGGCAAUGGGGGCAACCCUGACCGAGCAACGCCGCGUGAGUGAAGAAGGUUUUCGGAUCGUAAAGCUCUGUUGUAAGUCAAGAACGAGUGUGAGAGUGGAAAGUUCACACUGUGACGGUAGCUUACCAGAAAGGGACGGCUAACUACGUGCCAGCAGCCGCGGUAAUACGUAGGUCCCGAGCGUUGUCCGGAUUUAUUGGGCGUAAAGCGAGCGCAGGCGGUUUGAUAAGUCUGAAGUUAAAGGCUGUGGCUCAACCAUAGUUCGCUUUGGAAACUGUCAAACUUGAGUGCAGAAGGGGAGAGUGGAAUUCCAUGUGUAGCGGUGAAAUGCGUAGAUAUAUGGAGGAACACCGGUGGCGA
rnacentral:rRNA from 1 species